AAGUUUUGAAAAUUGUUGUGGUUCAAGACUGGGUCUAUGUCCAUCCGGUGCUGUUGCAUUGCAUCGAAUACAAUGAGGUAACAUCUAAUCAACGGAAUCAUAUUUUUAUUCUAACUCUUUGUUUAUGAACAAUGUUAUUAUUCUAAUCUAGAUCGAUUAAGAUGAUUUGAAGAGUUUAAAUUCGAGACUCGCAGAGUUGGAGAAGGCGUUAUCCUCCAGAGCAUCUACCACAUGCAUUUUUGGAGCAUCUCCAACCGAAUAUUCAAAUUCAAGGUGGAUUGGCAUGUAACACAAUUUGAAGACAUGUAAGAAGCUCCAACGCCGUGUCAUUCUUACGUGAAUUGGCAUCAAAAUUGACAACAGAUAAAGACGCUGCAUUUUUUUUUUCUUUUAUAAAUAGUAGCAAACACCCUUGAUGCCAAUCCGUGGUAACCCAAAACGAAACGACAUGAAACGUUUAAUCCUACAUGAAGUAAAACGGAAAGUAGGCUUUGGGUCGAGACUUAACGGGUCUUGUAUUUUAUCUGGUCAACCCUUUAAGUACCUGUUGAACGAUAAGUUGAUUCAAGUCUACACGCAGGUAACCCGUUGCAAGUUUCAAUCCAUUAAACUAAGGUCCUGGCUUUCUCAAUCUCUCUCUCAAUUUAUGUAUCAUGUAAUUGUAGUGCUUG
rnacentral:lncRNA from 1 species